rnacentral:tRNA from 1 species
GGGGCUGUGGCUCAGUAGUAGAACCUGUGAUUGGCAUGCACAAGGUCCCAGGAUCAAUUCCCGGCAUCUCCA